GCGGCGGCGGCGGCGGCGGCGGCAGGAAGGCGGGGAGGGGAUUCCCGAGCCAGCCGGGCGCUCGCCCUCCGCCCGCCGGCUGCAGCGUUGCGCGGCCAAGGUCAGAGGCUCCGCCGCCGCCGCCGCCGCCGCCGCAGCAGCAAACCAGAUCAGCGGGUCAAUCCUUGCCGCGGAGGGGAAAAGCCCCAGGGCGCAUUUGGUUCGCACCAGCAGCCACCAGGGAGGGAGGCGAGAGAAGGUCUCCGAGCCUGCUGGGCCCCACCGAGACAGUCGCGGGCGCAGCGACCCGGCACGGCAGGUGGCCGCCUCUCAGUCUGCGCUCCAGGAGCUGGGGCGGCACUUUGAGCUCUGGGCGCUGUCCGUCGCCUCGUGGUGCUGAACCCAGCCCCACGGCCAAGGGGCCCGCUCACCCGCCUUCUCGCCUACUGAUCGCUCCGAUUGGGGCAGGACAGGGGCAAAAGGGAGCCCCUGGGCAGCUGCCCACUGGAGCCGAGGGGUUGAAACAGGACAGCUAGGAAACGGCAGCCUGGCCGCUGCUCCUGAUGUGCAUAGGAGACGCGCGCUGCAGCCGGCGGCGGCGCUAGUGCUGAUUCAUCACCUAGAGCUCCUCACAGGCCAUCGCGAGGGCAGCGGACUGACUCUGGACUCUGGCCGCAGGUUGAAGCCGCUGGCGCAGGAGCCCCGCGGGCAGGAGGUGAGGACCCCUUCCCUUCUCUUGCCCCCAGUCGUCCUAGGGCGGUGGCGCCAGGACACAGAGAGGGGCGUGCCCCCAGGCUGUGAAGUGGUCAUGCCUGUGUAAUGCCCUCGCCUGCAGUCUCUCCAGUGUUGACCACGCUUGGUCCCCUCCUCCGCCUGUCUCUGGAGCUUGGGCCGUUCCAUCUCCCACCCUGAGCACCUCGGUCUGUUCGCGCCGCCGCGAUGGAGGAGGAGCUGAAGUGCCCCGUGUGCGGCUCCCUGUUUCGGGAGCCCAUCAUCUUGCCCUGUUCCCACAACGUCUGCCUUCCUUGCGCUCGUACCAUCGCCGUGCAGACCCCGGACGGUGAGCCGCACCUGCCCCAGCCGCUCCUGCACUCCCGGGGCUCGGGGCUACCCGCCGGCGCCGCCGCGGCACCCCCUCUGGACCACGACGCGGCGGCUGGCCCGGCCUGCAGCGGCGGAGGCGGGAGCGCAGCUGGCGGCCUGGGCGGCGGUGCGGGCGGUGGCGGGGACCACGCGGACAAGCUGAGCUUGUACAGCGAGACAGACAGCGGUUAUGGUUCCUACACGCCGAGCCUCAAGUCCCCCAACGGGGUUCGCGUGCUGCCCAUGGUGCCCGCGCCGCCAGGCUCCUCGGCCGCCGCGGCCCGGGGUGCCGCCUGCUCUUCGCUGUCCUCGUCCUCUUCAAGCUCCAUCACGUGCCCGCAGUGCCACCGCAGCGCUUCCCUGGACCACCGAGGCCUGCGCGGCUUCCAGCGCAACCGGCUGCUCGAAGCCAUCGUGCAGCGGUACCAGCAGGGCCGCGGGGCCGCGCAGGGGGCGUCCGCAGCCUCUGCAGUGGCCAUCUGCCAGUUGUGCGACCGCACCCCGCCGGAGCCGGCUGCCACGCUAUGCGAGCAGUGCGACGUCCUCUACUGCGCUGCUUGCCAGCUCAAAUGCCAUCCAUCCCGGGGACCUUUCGCUAAGCAUCGCCUGGUGCAGCCGCCGCCGCCAUCCGCGCCGGCGGAGGCAAACUCAGCAUCCCCGGGUGCGGCCCAGGGCGCCCCCAGUGGAGGUGGCGGCUGCAAGAGUCCGGGGGGCGCGGGGGCUGGAGCGGCGGGGGGCAGCGCCGCCCGCAAGUUCCCUACGUGCCCCGAACACGAAAUGGAGAACUACAGCAUGUACUGCGUGAGCUGCAGAACCCCGGUGUGCUAUCUGUGCCUGGAGGAGGGCCGUCAUGGCAAGCACGAGGUGAAGCCGCUGGGAGCCAUGUGGAAACAGCACAAGGCCCAACUGUCACAGGCCUUAAAUGGAGUUUCCGAUAAGGCAAAAGAAGCAAAGGAGUUUCUGGUUCAGCUGAAGAACAUCCUGCAGCAGGUCCAGGAAAACGGACUGGACUACGAAGCCUGCCUGGUUGCUCAGUGUGAUGCGCUGGUCGAUGCUUUAACUCGGCAGAAAGCCAAGCUGCUCACCAAGGUCACCAAAGAGAGAGAGCACAAGCUGAAGAUGGUUUGGGACCAGAUCAAUCACUGCACACUGAAGCUGCGUCAGUCAACCGGGCUGAUGGAGUACUGCCUAGAGGUGAUCAAGGAGAACGACCCCUCUGGCUUCCUACAGAUCUCGGAUGCUCUGAUCAAGCGCGUCCAGGUGUCUCAGGAGCAGUGGGUCAAAGGCGCCCUGGAGCCAAAAGUGUCUGCGGAGUUUGACCUGACCUUGGACAGCGAGCCGCUGCUGCAAGCCAUCCACCAGCUGGACUUCAUCCAGAUGAAAUGUAGGGUGCCGCCCGGCCCCCUGCUGCAGCUGGAGAAGUGUUGCACCCACAACAAUAGUGUCACACUGGCCUGGAGGAUGCCGCCCUUCACCCACAGCCCUGUGGACGGCUACAUCCUGGAGCUGGAUGACGGCGACGGGGGCCAGUUCCGGGAAGUGUAUGUGGGCAAGGAGACCCUGUGCACCAUCGAUGGUCUUCACUUCAACAGUACCUACAAUGCCAGGGUCAAGGCUUUCAACUCCUCCGGCGUCGGGCCUUAUAGUAAAACUGUAGUCCUGCAGACAUCUGACGUGGCCUGGUUCACCUUUGACCCCAACUCUGGGCACCGGGACAUCAUCUUAUCCAAUGACAACCAGACGGCCACCUGCAGCAGCUAUGACGACCGGGUGGUGCUGGGCACAGCCGCGUUCUCCAAGGGCGUGCACUACUGGGAGCUGCACGUGGACCGGUACGACAACCACCCAGACCCCGCCUUCGGGGUGGCCAGGGCCAGCGUGGUCAAGGACAUGAUGCUGGGCAAGGACGACAAGGCCUGGGCCAUGUACGUGGACAACAACCGCAGCUGGUUCAUGCACUGCAACUCCCACACCAACAGGACGGAAGGCGGUGUGUGCAAGGGGGCCACUGUCGGCGUGCUCCUGGACCUAAAUAAGCACACGCUGACCUUCUUCAUCAACGGGCAGCAGCAGGGCCCCACAGCCUUCAGCCAUGUGGAUGGGGUGUUCAUGCCAGCCCUCAGCCUCAACCGCAACGUGCAGGUCACCCUGCACACAGGAUUGGAAGUACCAACAAACCUGGGGCGGCCAAAGUUAUUGGGCAACUAGCCUCCCGGCCCCAGCUGUUCACCGGCGUCUGGGAAAAGCCUCACCAUCCCUCGCUGAGGUCGAAGGACCCGCGAGGGCAGGACGAUCGCCUUGAGGGGUGCAGCCCAGCAGCCGCUCAGUAUCUUAGAGACGUGUUUUGUUUGGAGGGUGAGAACAGGUCUGCAGGCCACGCUUGUUGAGGCAGCUGGUUAAUAAGUGGCCACUGGUCGGUGGUGAAGCUGCGUGUGUGUUUCUCUCAUUCCUCCUGGACAUUACGAAUGCUCACAGAGAAGGAACUUUCUCGAGGGAGGGAGAAGACAUCCGGGGUUUAUGAUUAUGUUUCCUGCCAUCUGUUUUCAAAGCUUGUCUUUUUUGCUGGUGGGGGGGCAAGAGGAGGGCCGACUUUGAGACUGGCAUCCUGAGAGCAGAGGCAGGAAGGCACUUCCGGAAUCCCACUCCCCAAGUGUUGAUUGACCCUUUGCUGGGACACCUCUCUGUCCCGAGGCUGCAGGUUCUCAUCUCCUCCAGGAAAGGUUCUCCUUUUUGCUUUUUUGGUCCUGGAGUCUCCACAACAUUAUGCCCUUGCAGACCUAAUCCAAGGUCGAUAGAAAGGGGCAUUAAUCUUGACCUUCACCAUUCCCACUGACCUUCACCAUUCCCACUGAACUAUUGAGAACCUUUAAAAUGGUUUCUUUUGGUCCUUCAUUAAUCAUCUCUCUCUCUCUCUCUCUCUCUCUCUCUCUCUCUCUCACACACACACACACACACACACACACACACGUCUGCUAAAAUGCAUUCAGUCAGUUCUUAGUCCUUAAACACAAAAGAAAACAAUGGAAUUGGAGUGACCACAUGAAGCGUGUCUGCUGGCUGGCAGCUGUUUUCUGGAACUGCAAGCUUGUCUGAGUUGCUCUCUUCCAGGCUUUGGUCCUCCCAGGGGGACCCUGGGGAAGCCUCUUAGAAUCUGCCUACCUUUUCUUUCAGACCCACCCUACUGUCAUCAUGAAAGUAGGAGAUGGCCCCCCAUGGCAGUGGUGCCUCUGCCUUGGGAUGGGCAGGUCCUCUAAUGAAGGCAGGAAAUAGCAAUAUCAGCAUGUCCCUUACACCCCAGACUCCCGGGGUGAGCCUGGCUGUGCCAGAGGCCCAGGCUGAGCCCCCUAGCAGGGCGCCCUCAUGGGCCCAGGAGGUCCCCAUAGAGUCAUUUGCAUCUCUCAGAAACAGAGCUCGCUUUCGGGGGUCUGAGCCCGGAGCCCGCCGCGGUCCUGUCCCCAGAGCACCUUCCUGUCCCCUCCUGCUCUUCCUCUUUGUCACCUGCCACCUCCAUUUCCAUCUGGUGGCGAAACUUUCUCCUUUUUAAAAAGAAUAUAUUUUAUCAAGCAUUUUAUUUUUGAGGUUGAGGAGUACCUUGUCCAUUUGCUGGAUUGGAUUUUUAUAAAACUUAGCCCAUAAACCGGCAGCAACUGUGUUUACUCGGUUCUACCUGCUUGUGUAGACACUGCCCUUGUUUUCUGAGCGGCCAAGGCCAAUGCUGUGUAGAUCCUGCCCCCCUAGCAGCAGAUCCUACAAUCCUACCUCAGAGCCCGCGCACCCUCGGACCUCGAGGCUGCCUUGUCCCCGCCGGGUGGGCAGACGUGGCCGGCUAGGCCACCUGCCCAGCGUCUUCAGGAGCUGCUUGGUGCUGUUUCGGCCUCCGAGCUCGGGUCCUGGCAACCACCUGCGUGUGGAGCUGAGGUCUUGCCUCUUGGUUCUCCGCCAGUGGCGUGGUUUCUCAGGCACCCGGAGGUCUUCCUCGUCCUGUCCCGGACCCCCGCCAGAGCCCCGAGGGGGAUGCAGCGUCCUGCCUGUCCUCCUGCCUGCACCUGCCUCUCCGUUUCACUCCUUAGCCAUAGCUCCGGGUGGACUCAGCUUGGAAGCUGGUGAAGCUUCCUGAAGAUUGGAGGACACAGAGGAGCCAUGGCCUUGCUGGGGCUGAUGAAGCAUGGCCAGCAGGUCCAGAUGCAUCGGCUUUGGGAAAAGACUGGCCAGCGUGCUGGGAGUGACACCAGGAGGGUCAGCAGCUCCAGGAGGCCCCGUGAGUGUCCCCAGCAGGCACCUUUCCAGCUUUGCUCCUCCUCCAGGAACCCAGCAGCACCGUGUCAGGCUGUCCUGAAGCCACCUCUCCUGUCCUCAGCACAAAACACCUUUCAGGGACAAGAACGAACCUAGGAGAGAAGGCAGGUCUGUGCCACACUUGUUUUCGAGGGAUCGGCCAAACAAAGAAGGAAUCAUCAGCGGCUGUGGCCUGACUUACGUCACCCUCCCAGGAAGCCCCUGGGAUUCGGAGCAGAGGCUACAGGUCGUGAAUUUCUCAUUGGCCAUCGAAUUCCCUGUCCCCUUACAAUGUGGUGGCAUUUUUGUACUUAGAAUUGUAUCAAAAUGAUGCUUUUGUUGGGCUGGCUGAGGAAUCACUUGGUGUUUGUCUAUCAAGCAGUUUCAGUGAGAAGAGAAUUCAAAGUAACUUAAAUGUCAGGUCCCAAUGCAUUGUAAAUAAUGCCUCCUUGACGUAGUUCCGCGGUUCGUGCUCUGCUCGUGAGCAAGUUUGCUCAAAGCAUAUGCCUUUCCUUUUAGAAUGAAUCCCUUUUAAGCAUCCGCUAGCGACUCACCGCAAAGCACCCUAGCUCCUAAUUCAAAGCAAAAGCUAAAACAUUGCACACAGCCCUCUCUGCCCUGUCGGGGAAAAUAAUGAUUCUAAUCAAAGUGGACAUCAGUAAUCCUGACCCACAAAGUAAUUGGCAUAAAAACUAUGUAUACAUUUUUAUAUAUAGCUCUGGGCUGAAAUCUUCAGCCCUCCGUGAACUCUGUGGUUGUGACAGCGCCCUCGGGCGCCUCGUGGCCCACCGAGAGUGAGGAGGGUCAUGCUUUCCAGAGUGAGCCUGGGCAGAACCGGAGUUCACCAGGGACGCUGGGAACAGGUUCAUGCUUCCUGCUCUUAGUGCCCGGGAAAGCCCAGCCUCGCGGUGCCCGUGCCCUCUGCCUACAGAUUCUCAGGAAAGGAUCACAACGCAGGUUCUACGUGUCCUUCUUCCGGGGACAUUUGCAUUUUAGCCUUAAUUCUGGUUGCAAGUGAAAGGCUCGGUCCCCUGUGAAGGCAUGUUUCAGCACAGACGAGCAGACAGUUGUCCUGUGGCCACCCACACGCGGUGAGAUGGGGAGGAUAGGGAGGGUAGGUAACACUCCGAGGGGGGGGGGGGGGGACUCAGCACGGGAGUGCCGGAAAACACUCUCACAAGGCCCAUGGCUGAUGCCAGGGUUCCUCAACCUCAGCACCCCCCGGGGUGGGGAGGGGGUGGGGUUCUCUUAUUGUUGUGGGCUGGCCAUGGCCUCCCCACACUAGAUGCCGGUAGCACCCCCCCCCAAGUGAGGGGUGACGACCCAAAGCGUCUACAGACAUUGCCAGAUGUCCCCUAGGGGACACCCUGGGUUGAGAACCACUAGCGGUUUGUCAUGUGUCCAUGCGUCAGUAUGCAGGGUGAUGCUGGGGUAUCCAUUUCAGCGUUACCUGGAAAGCCUGUAUCACAAUGUAUGGACCUUCCUGCCCAAGACCAGGAUUGUCCUUCCAUAGGCCUGCAGUGCUCUGCCAGCCGGGGCAGGUAGGGGGAAAUGGAGGUGAGCCACCAACAGAGGCCAAGCUGUCAGGUCUCACUUUGUAUUUACUGAAGAUGCCCCCACCCGCCCCCCCCCCAGAAGACACCCCCCAUUCCUAGAAGGCAAAACUUGUUACCAAAUGUUUCCUUGGCCGCUUUUGCCUGGAGGCAACAGGAACUUUAUGGAUUUGUGGCCUAUUAUCUGGUUUUAAAAAUCUAAUCAGAUCUCAUUAGAAGAUAUUUAGGGUCUCUGCUGAUUCUGGGAAAUCUCUACUUUUGUUUUGCAAGUAAGCCAGUAAGCUGUUUUCAAGGAUCACUUUCCUUGGCAGGUUCCUCCUUAAAGAGAAAGGGGUCCUGGUGGCUUUCGCUUUAAAUGGACUGUAUGAUAGGUAAGAGUAGGUGUGGGGUAGGAUGUGUGGCUCAGGCACCGCAUUCAGCCCUCAGACACUCGUGUCUUUGAACCUGGCUUUGAUAAUGGUUCACACGUCUUAUAUCUUUCUGUGCCUCGGUAUCCCCACCGAGGGAAUGCUUUUGAAAGAAAAGAAUAUAGUCUCUCAUCUAUUGAGUCUAGGCUAAUGGUCCCCUUCAAAGAAUCAAGCCUGUGUGGUGACCUUCCAGAAUGUUCUCCGACCACAAGACGGUAUCUUCCAUCCCAGCCUCUUGUGACCAGGAGCAUGUGUGUAUUAACACUGCUGCCUGGCCUUGAGGAGGGAAAAUUGACAUUUGAAAUAGGCUUCACAUGACCAUGCAAAGCAACACCCCAGACGUUCCCAUUCCCAACAAGGCCUGUUUUAACGGUACUUUGGUGCAACGUGCUGUAAGCGGGCCACAUGUCAACAUUGUCAUUGUUAGUCCCAAAGGCAUCUGUGUGCAGAAGCCCCCAUAAAACGUAGAAAGAGGCUGACCUGCCUGUCUCCUCGGUCACCUUAAGUUCUAACAUCUGAGGCGUCCCCCAACCCAUCCUGUGUCUCCAUUGUUUCCGAAGAUCUCGGCAGGGGAGCGGCUUUGAGAACCAAUGUCUAAGAGUAAGGCGGGAGGCACCUGACCCCUCGGCUGGGAGUCUGCACGGCCCUGGGACUCCACUCGCACUACCUGUUGGAGAGGGGGGUGGGGGGUGGUUCCCGGCUUUCCUUGUGAAUGAUGUUGGCUUCAGGCAGGAGUUGGGAGUCGAGACCCCACAGGGGAGUCUUGUCUGGAGGGCGCGGGCUGCCCAACCUAGUCCUGGGGAAGACCCCCCCGCAAGGUGGGCACCACUCACCAGGCCAGGCCCUCAGGCAGCCUCUGAGGAGACUCCAAACACAGACUUCAGAUCUGGAAAAGCGGCCUCCAGUGGCUGUGGAAGCAGGAACACGGCGAGGGCCUGCAGACCUUUCCAGCUCGUCCCGCGCCCGGUGGCUGGGCGUCCCCAGCCUGACUUCCUCGGCACCAAGAGGAAGCGCGGAGUGAGCCAAGCAGAAGACGUUAAAUGCAUGAUGUAGACGUGCUGCUUUCCCACUAACUUUGUCGUAUUCAGCAUGAGUGAUUUGUUUAACGUUGGCAAAGGAAUUUAAAAAGUAACAAGCUCUGUGUCCUUGUUUUGGCUGUCCACAGUUCUUGCAUUUCCCUGCCUUCCUUUACCCCCGCCCCCCCCCCCACCAUCGCAUCCACUUUCUGUCACAGUUGUCCGUAUACAGUGGCAGCUCUCGGUCCCGUUGGUGUUCGUGUUCCACUGGAAACACGGGGGGGGGGGGGAAAGGGGGGGAAAGCAACUUUUUUCUAAUUUUUGUAUCGGUAUCCACGAGCGUUUGUAUUUUUUGAAUUGCAAACACUGUGUUUUCUGGUCUUUGGGGGGUUGGUUAACUUUGUGUAUUGCCUUCUGGAAAACCUGAGUUUUAUCACAGUCUUGAGCAGAUUUGAAAUAAAUUCUUUGGACACUGCCAACAACCGAAAGGCAGGGCCCGGUCUGGAUUACUGCCCAGAAGCACAGCGCGCCUCUUGCCAUGCGGGCCCUGGGUG